UACGUAGGGUGCAAGCGUUGUCCGGAAUUAUUGGGCGUAAAGAGCUCGUAGGCGGUCUGUCGCGUCUGCUGUGAAAACUCGGGGCUUAACCCCGGGCCUGCAGUGGGUACGGGCAGACUAGAGUGCGGUAGGGGAGACUGGAAUUCCUGGUGUAGCAGUGAAAUGCGCAGAUAUCAGGAGGAACACCGGUGGCGAAGGCGGGUCUCUGGGCCGUAACUGACGCUGAGGAGCGAAAGCAUGGGGAGCGAACAGG
rnacentral:rRNA from 1 species